AAACGAUAUUGGAAGCUUGCUUCCGAUAGGCGUCGACCGGCGCACGGGUGAGUAACGCGUAUCCAACCUGCCCACCACUUGGGGAUAACCUUGCGAAAGUAAGACUAAUACCCAAUGACGUCUCUAGAAGACAUCUGAAAGAGAUUAAAGAUUUAUCGGUGAUGGAUGGGGAUGCGUCUGAUUAGCUUGUUGGUGAGGUAACGGCCCACCAAACCUACGAUCAGUAGCCGGACUGAGAGGUUGACCGGCCACAUUGGGACUGAGAUACGGCCCAGACUCC
rnacentral:rRNA from 1 species